rnacentral:lncRNA from 1 species
CACUGACACUCUGGGUGCCUCUGCCCCCAGUUUUUUUCCUUCCUUUCUCCAAAUAACCCUGCUUUGUUCUAAAGUGGAGGUAAGGUCCCCAGGGACCACGCCCAGACCAGGAGGGACAGGACAGGAGAGGCUUGGUUGAAGCAGAGCCUCUGACCCUCCCCUUGGGAUCCCCCCAAGACCACACACACACACACACACACACACACACGCACGCCCCACGCGCCCUGCGCGGGCUCUGAGCAAAGCCUGGAGCCAGCGCUGACACCCGGUGCCCAGAUGCUGCCCCCUGGGCACCCAGAAGGGAUUGGCCCUGCAAAACGGCCCUCGACAGCCCCACCCCCGCCUCGCUGGUCCUCCCUGUGGUCACUGAGCAAAAUCUAACACCCCAAAGGCACCACCUCUCCUUUCCCUGCUGUGGUGCGCGGCGAUUGGCGGGGCAGGUGGUGGUUGUGGAGCCCCAUGGCGCGGGGAGGAAAGGAACAUCACGGAGCCCGCUCUGGGCGUUUCUGCAGGGAAGCCCAGCCCCCAGAUCAGACCUGCCCGGAAACACGGCGCCUCCGCCUCCGCCUCCCCGCCCCCCUGCACCCCGGCAUCCCGUCCCCGGGACCCCGGCUUGCUCUGACCGCAGGAUACAUUCCCAGCCUGGCCCCUGCCCCAGAAGGGAAGCCGCGGUGCUCCCGGGCAGGGGUGGGGGGCUCGCCGGGGUGAGCAUUCCCGCAUCCUGCGACGGAGGGGGGAGUCGGCAGGAGGGCUCAUUAUACUCUCUCCUCGGAAAGCUGAGAGCCUAUCACUGCUGUCUUGAUGAAUGUGGAAUCAAAACAUAUCAACAAAACGUGGCCAAAUACAAAGAGACUCGGAAUUACAGAGGCUGAUGGGGCGCCUGGGUGGCUCAGUCGGUUAAGCGGCCGACUUCGGCUCAGGUCAUGAUCUCGUGGUUCGUGAGUUCAAGCCCCGUGUCAGGCUCCGUGCUGACAGCUCGGAGCCUGGAGCCUGGUUCCGAUUCUGUGUCUCCCUCUCUCUCUCCCCCUCCCCACUCGCAUCCUGUCUGUCUGUCUCUCUUUAUCUCAAAAAUAAACAUAAAAAAAUAAAAUAAAAAAAGAAUUAC